rnacentral:rRNA from 1 species
UUGGGGAAAGGUUUACUGGCGAAGGAUCGGCCCGCGUCGGAUUAGCUGUGUUGGUGGGGUACCGGCCUACCAGGGCGACGAUCCAGUAGCUGGUCUGAGAGGAUGAUCAGCCACACUGGGACUGAGACACGGCCCAGACUCCUACGGGAGGCAGCAGUGGGGAAAAUUGGACAAUGGGCGCAAGCCUGAUCCAGCCAUGCCGCGUGAGUGAUGAAGGCCUUGGGGUUUGUAAAGCUCUUUUUGUCCGGGACGAAUAAUGACGGUACCGGAAGAAUAAGCCCCCGGCUAACUUUCGUGCCAGCAGCCGCGGUAAUACGAAGGGGGCUAGCGUUGCUCGGAAUCACUGGGCGUAAAGGGCGCGUAGGCGGCCGAUUAAGUCGGGGGGUGAAAGCCUGUUGGCUCAACCACCGGAAAUUGCCUUUCGAUACUGGGUUGGCUUUGAGACCGGGAAGAAGGACAGCGGGAACUGCGAGUGUGAAAAGGUGAAAAUUCGUAGAUUAUUCGCAAGAACCACCAGUGGCGAAGGCGGGCUGUUCUGGGUCCCGGUUUCUGACGGCUGAGGCCGCGAAAGGCGUGGGGGAAGCAAACAGGAUUAGAUACCCUUGGGUAGUCCCACGGCCGUAAACGAUGAAGGCCAGCCGUUUGGCCUUGCUUGCARGGUCAGKUGGCCGCCGCUUACGCAUUAAGCUUCAUUCCGCCGGGGGAGUACGGUCGCCAAAWUWAAMCUCAAAGGAAUUGWCGGGGGCCCGCACAAACGGGGUGGGGCAGGUGGUUUUAUUYGAAKCAACRCGCAGSAACMUUACCAUCCCUKGACUUGGCAUGUUACCUCGAGAGAUCGGGGAUCCUCUUCGGCGGCGRUGCACACAGGUGCUGCAKGGSUGUCGYCACCUCGUGUCGUGAUAUGUUGGGUUAAGUCCCGCAACGAACGCAACCCAGGUCCUUAGUUGCCAUCAUUCAKUUGGGCWCCUUAGGGAACCUGCGGGUGAUAAGCCCCGGGGAAGGAGUGGAAGAGGUCAAGUCCUCAUGGCCCGUGCGGGAAGGGUUUCACCGGUGCUUCAAGGGAGGGGACCGUGGGAGGCGAAGCCGCGAGGUGGAGCAAAUCCCCAAAAACCGUCUCAAUUCGGAUUGCAUUCU